rnacentral:rRNA from 1 species
UACGUAGGGCGCAAGCGUUGUCCGGAAUUAUUGGGCGUAAAGAGCUCGUAGGCGGUCUGUCGCGUCGGCUGUGAAAACUCGGGGCUCAACUCCGAGCUUGCAGUCGAUACGGGCAGGCUAGAGUUCGGCAGGGGAGACUGGAAUUCCUGGUGUAGCGGUGAAAUGCGCAGAUAUCAGGAGGAACACCGAUGGCGGAGGCAGCUCACUGGGACGGUGCUGACGCUGAGGCGCGAAAGCGUGGGGAGCAAACAGG